AUGAGCAGCAAUGAGUGCUUCAAGUGUGGGCGGUCUGGCCACUGGGCCCGGGAAUGCCCUACUGGAGGAGGCCAUGGUCGUGGAAUGAGAAGCCAUGACAGAGGUGGUUUUACCUCGGAUAGAGAUUUCCAGUUUGUUUCCUCAUCUCUUCCAGACAUCUGUUACUGCUGUGGUGAGUCUGGUCAUCUUGCCAAGAAUUGUGAUCUUCAGGAGGAUGCCUGCUAUAACUGCGGUAGAGGUGGUCACAUUGCCAAGGACUGCAAGGAGCCCAAGAGAGAGCGAGAGCAGUGCUGUUACAACUGUGGCAAACCAGGCCAUCUGGCUCGUGAUUGUGACCAUGCUGAUGAGCAGAAGUGCUAUUCUUGUGGAUAAUUUGGACACAUUCAAAAAGACUGCACCAAAGUGAAGUGUUAUAGGUGUGGUGAAACUGGUCAUGUAGCCAUCAACUGCAGCAAGACAAGUGAAGUCAACUGUUACCGCUGUGGAGAGUCAGGGCACCUUGCACGGGAAUGCACAAUUGAGGCUACAGCUUAAUUAUUCUCCUUUGUCUCCCCUCCUUUUCUGAUUGAUGGUUGUAUUCUUUUCUCUGAAUACUCUUCACUGGCCAAAGGUUGGCAGAUAGAGGCUACUCCCAGGCCAGUGAGCUUUACUUGCCAUGUAAAAGGAGGAAAGGGGUGGGAAAAAAACCGACUUCCUGCAUUUAACUACAAAAAAAAGUUUAUGUCUAGUUUGGUAGAGGUGUUAUGUAUAAUGCUUUGUUAAAGAACCCCCUUUCCAUGUCACUGGUGAAUAGAGAUUAAUAAAUGGGAAGAGUUGAGUCAGACCAGUACGCCCAUUCUGGGUUUCUUGAAAUGUUCCCAUGUAGGACAUAAAACAAUUUGGAAGUUUAUGAACUUCUGUAAGUAACUUUAAUUUUAGAAUAAUGGUGGCCUUGGAUUGUCUGACCUCAGUAACUAUUAAAUAACAUCAAGUAACAUCUGUAUCAGGCCCUACAUAGAACAUACAGUUGAGUGGGAGUAAACAAAGGCAAACAUGCACGCUAAUGACUGGAGAGAGAAACCAAAAUAAAAGCCUAAGCAGGAACACCUUCAUCACAGAGUUGAUGCUGGAUAUACACAUGGUGAUGGCAAAGGUUUAGAACAUUUUUUUUCAAAGACUAAAACCCAGAGUAAAUAACGAUGCUCAGAGUUAUCAUAAUUUGGAGCUAUUCAGGAAUUGCAGAGAAAUGCAUUUUCACAGAAAACAAGAUGUUAUUUUUUUAUACUAUAUCACUUAAGACAACUGUGUUUCAUUUGCUGUAAUCAGUUUUUAAAAGUCAGAUGGAAAAAGCAACUGAAGUCCUAGAAAAUAGAAAUGUAAUUUUAAACUAUCCAAUAAAGCU